AUACUACGGUCAAAUUCUUCGUCACAAAGGCCGUUGAAAAUGAUGGUGCAUCGGCGGUAACUUCGCAGCUGAAGUUACCCGAUAGUCUGAAGUCGACGUUCCUCAACAUAACUUGACUCCCGUUGGAUCCAAUUAUACAACAGUGUGUUCGUUGUUGAGGUAAGACGCAAGCCGGUAAACAACCGUUCCAGAAAUCAACCCAACCCCUGCGGUCUAUAUUCACCUCGGUUUCCGGUCAAUCGGUGGUAGACCUUGAAC
rnacentral:misc_RNA from 1 species